ACGGGAGGCAGCAGUGAGGAAUAUUGGUCAAUGGAGGCAACUCUGAACCAGCCAUCUCGCGUGAAGGAAUACGGCCCUAUGGGUCUUAAACUUCUUUUAUAGGGGGAUAAAGUGAGGCAUGCAUGCCUUUUUGUAGGUACCCUAUGAAUAAGCAUCGGCUAACUCCGUGCCAGCAGCCGCGGUAAUACGGAGGAUGCGAGCGUUAUCCGGAUUUAUUGGGUUUAAAGGGUGCGUAGGCGGAAUGUUAAGUCAGUGGUAAAAGCGUGUGGCUCAACCAUACCAAGCCAUUGAUACUGGCGUUCUUGAGUGUAAACGAGGUAGGCGGAAUAUGACAUGUAGCGGUGAAAUGCUUAGAUAUGUCAUAGAACCCCGAUUGCGAAGGCAGCUUACCAGCAUACAACUGACGCUGAGGCACGAAAGCGUGGGUAUCAAACAGGAUUAGAUACCCUGGUA
rnacentral:rRNA from 1 species